rnacentral:misc_RNA from 1 species
GGUGUUAUAUAUAUUGAAUAAUUGAAUUGGCUGGUUCAAUCAGGUUAUACUGGUGCACCGAUUCAACCACUGACUCGAUCGGGUCACACUGAGACACUUCUUUGUCUGGUUCAAUUACAAACCCGGAUCAAUUUGAGGACAGGUUCACUGGUUCAACUAGUCAGUUCGAUCCGAGUUUAAUAAAUAUGAUUGAAACUACUACUAUUACUUUCAC